rnacentral:rRNA from 1 species
CGACCGGCGCACGGGUGAGUAACACGUAUCCAACCUGCCCUUUACUCGGGGAUAGCCUUUCGAAAGAAAGAUUAAUACCCGAUGGCAUAAUGAUUCCGCAUGGUUUCAUUAUUAAAGGAUUCCGGUAAAGGAUGGGGAUGCGUUCCAUUAGGUUGUUGGUGAGGUAACGGCCCACCAAGCCUUCGAUGGAUAGGGGUUCUGAGAGGAAGGUCCCCCACAUUGGAACUGAGACACGGUCCAAACUCCUACGGGAGGCAGCAUG